CGUAGGUGGCAAGCGUUGUCCGGAAUUAUUGGGCGUAAAGGGCGCGUAGGCGGUACCUUAAGUCAGAUGUGAAAACCCGAGGCUUAACUUCGGAGGUGCAUUUGAAACGUGGGGAACUAGAGUGCAGGAGAGGUAAGUGGAAUUCCUAGUGUAGCGGUGAAAUGCGUAGAUAUUAGGAGGAACACCAGUGGCGAAGGCGACUUACUGGACUGUAACUGACGCUGAGGCGCGAAAGCGUGGGGAGCAAACAGGAUUAGAUACCCUGGUAGUCCACGCUGUAAACGAUGGAUACUAGGUGUGGGAGGUAUCGACCCCUUCCGUGCCGCAGUAAACGCAAUAAGUAUCCCGCCUGGGGAGUACGGCCGCAAGGUUG
rnacentral:rRNA from 1 species